rnacentral:rRNA from 1 species
UACGAAGGGGGCUAGCGUUGCUCGGAAUCACUGGGCGUAAAGGGUGCGUAGGCGGGUCUUUAAGUCAGAGGUGAAAUCCUGGAGCUCAACUCCAGAACUGCCUUUGAUACUGAAAGUCUUGAGUAUGGGAGAGGUGAGUGGAACUGCGAGUGUAGAGGUGAAAUUCGUAGAUAUUCGCAAGAACACCAGUGGCGAAGGCGGCUCACUGGCCCAUUACUGACGCUGAGGCACGAAAGCGUGGGGAGCAAACGGGG